UGAAAGAGCUUUGCAAACAGCCUGCACAGCUGGGCUUCCCUGUGUCCUCGCUGAGCUUCUGGAGAGGUCGACUGCAUCAAUGCUAACUCGAGUAAGGAGUCCAGGAAUUCGCUGAACAGUCUCUCUUCUGUUUCAGGACCUGAUUGAUUUUGAACAGCUGUCCUGCAGAAAUGGUUUCACGAGCUGAUUCAUGUUAAGGAAGAGGCGGGAAGAUGAUGUGAGGACACAAGGGGAAGAGCGGUCGCGAGAGACCUGGGACAAGUCCUGGAAAGAGCCAACCCUGCUGACGCUUGAUCUUGGCAUUCCUGCCUCCAGAACAUCUAUAAGCUAUACAAUCUGUGGUACAUUGUGGCAGGCAGCAAGCAAUCAGUAAUUUAGUGGACAUUUCCUACAAAC